UCUUCAACAAUAUCAGAUCAAGAUCUGUCACCUGCUUCAUUCAGAGAGAGAGAGAGAUUAGGAUUUCUGAAUCCUAGUUCGAUUGAGAUUAGUUAUGCAAUUAUAACGAUUUGUUAAGCAAUUAUUUGAUUGGAAUCGAUUUCUUCUGCAUGUUUGUUUCAGCUAAAGAGAUAGAUCUCUCUCUCUCUUUCUGUGAAAUUUGGGAAUCGAAGUCCUUUCAAUUGCACAUCUUGGGCUCUAGCAUCUGUGAUUAUUCUUGUGAGUUAAGGUUGUCGUUUAUCGGGUCUUCAGUCACCAUCUCAUGGAAGAAUUGACACAAAGUUCAAGAUUUCAGUCAUUGAAAUUGAGUGACAAAAGAUGGAAAAUCUUGAUCUUUGCAUGUUAAUGAGGAAGAAAGCUGAUCAAAAAAUGUGUAGAAAUAAGAAGAUCGAACGUACAGCUUCAGAAUCUCGUGUUUUGUACUCAUAUGAUAUUAUUAGUGUUUUCUUAGUCUAGUUGAAUCAAAUAUUCUGUAACUAUUAUUUUUGUAUUGAGAGAAAUGAGUUGAAAUAGAAUUCAGCAAAAUAUUAACAAAAUA